rnacentral:rRNA from 1 species
UACGUAGGGUGCAAGCGUUGUCCGGAAUUAUUGGGCGUAAAGAGCUCGUAGGCGGUCUGUCGCGUCUGCUGUGAAAACUCAGGGCUUAACCCUGAGCUUGCAGUGGGUACGGGCAGACUAGAGUGCGGUAGGGGAGACUGGAAUUCCUGGUGUAGCGGUGAAAUGCGCAGAUAUCAGGAGGAACACCGAUGGCGAAGGCAGGUCUCUGGGCAUUAACUGACGCUGGAGGAGCGAAAAGCAUGGGGAGCGAACAGG